AAGCCUCGGGGUGUUACAUGUCAGACUGCAAAUCUGAAGACGGCCCUCGGCCCGGGGCUU
rnacentral:tRNA from 1 species